AUACGUAGGGGGCGAGCGUUAUCCGGAUUUAUUGGGUUUAGAGGGUGCGCAGGCGGAAGAUUAAGUCGGCGGUGAAAUUUUGCAGCUCAACUGUAAAAGUGCCAUCGAUACUGGUUUUCUUGAGUGUGGAUGAAGUAGGCGGAAUUUGUGGUGUAGCGGUGAAAUGCAUAGAUAUCCCGAGGAACUCCGAUUGCGCAGGCAGCUUACUAGGCCAUAACUGACGCUCAGGCACGAAGGCGUGGGGAUCAAACAGGAUUAGAUACCCUGGUAGUCCACGCAGUAAACGAUGAUUACUCGCUGUUUGCGAUACACAGUAAGCGGCUUAGCGAAAGCGUUAAGUAAUCCACCUGGGGAGUACGUUCGCAAGAAUGAAACUCAAAGGAAUUGACGGGG
rnacentral:rRNA from 1 species